CGAAAGCCAACAGCUUUAAACUUCCUUACAUUCAUUGGCAAAACAUUUUACCAACUGAUUCAUGAGAUAACACAAUAACCUCAGAGGCUUUGUCUGAAAAGGCUUUCUAAAAACCACCUAUUAACCCAUACAGUUCUGUUGGCAGCUCUCAGCAUUUUGCUUGUUUAAUAUUCAUUUAUUUCAUGUAGACCUAUAUUGCCAAUCAUUACACACUGUGUGUGUGUAAUACUUUAUUCUGAAAAAACUCCAGAAGUUUUUCCCAGCUGGUUGUUGGUGAACUCUGCCUGUAAUACCCAAUGCAUGCGCUGGUCUAUUUUCUUUAUUUGGUGUACGAGUUGUGCCACAAUAGUGGUAAGACUAUUGAACAUCUGUAUUUGAUGGUGUCUUUGAAUGUCUGAGAAGUCAAAUCGGAAAUCAGUCAUUUGUCUCAGUCCUCUCCUUGAGACUUACCUCAGCCAGCUGUUAAAUACAUAGUUUGCUGUAAUCUUUUUUCUCAAUUCUGCUUUAAUAUUUCGGUGGAGGAGCAUAAUGAGAGCACAAAUUUCACCUCCAAAAAGCUAAAAUGAAAAUUUCUAUAUCUUGAAUAACCUAAAACUGCUGGGAGCAGAUCGUGCAACAAACACCAUAUCCACAUAAAGGUUAUUGCUCCUGGUAUUUGGAUUAGAAUAUGGGGUUCACACAAAAAAUUCUUAUAAAUGUUCUUUAAAUAUUCUCAGUCUCAAGGAGUUCUUUCUAGUUUUGCUCUCUUGGGAAGUUUCCCUUGUAAGAUGGCUGAAAAAGCCUCAUUACUUAGUGUCCAUUUAGAGACAAAAACUAAAGUUGGAUCAUGUCCUUGGAUAAGACAGCUGAAUUUCAUUUCUGUCACUGGAAAUCAUGUGCACCUGUUAACCAAGGUAGCACUUGCUCCACAAGGCAAAAGUCAGGGGUAUAAAUAUGUCUUUCACCUUAUAAAUGACUGAGAAACUUGGAAAACUGUCAAUUUAUCCUGGUAAAGAUUAAGUAAGCAAAUGUUGAAAAAUUGCUGUAAAAUUUAAUCCAAAUUGUGCAGGCUUCAGAGUACAAAGUGAUUCAGUUGAAAUAAGUUUGAGAAAGUAGGAAUGGAGGAGUACACCCAAACAAAAUUUGGAGUGGAAAAUCGUAAUGUUCCUAAUACUCCAAAAAGGUGAAAGAUAUAGGCACCUAUAAACCCGUAAAAUUAAUAUUUAUCACUAAAAUAAUGGGCAGCUAUUAAGAGGGAAGGUGAAUACUUAGAGUAUCAAAAUAGCCAUAGGAUAGGACUUAAGACUAAGCCAUAUUCUACAGAUCAACUUAUUUUUGUUAGUGUUAUUAAAAAUACAUUGUCUUGAAGGACACAUAGCAUUAAAUAGCUGUAAAUCCUGAAGCAUAAGACAAGCAAAAUAUAAAUUUAAUGGAAAAAAGACUGUAUUUAGAGGAUCUUGAAAAAGUAAGAAGUAUACCAAUGUGAUUAGAAUUGGUGAGAGCUUUAUUGUGUAACAUAAAAUGUUAUAUAUCAGAGAAAAAGCUACCUUAUCAUCAGCCUUCCUGUAAUCAUGUUGGGAGCAGGACAUUGUAAGCUUUUCCUGGAAUAUAUUGACAAAUUGCAGGCAGAUUUAUAUUUUAACUACCCAAAACAAACACCAGAAAUUCCCCAGAAAACCCCAAGGACAGGGGAGCAGGGUAAAAAGCUCCAGAAAUUAAACAAAUUCAACCUGAAAGAGUUGGAAGAAUGAUGAUCCAUUUUAAAUGUAUGACAUAUGUAAGGAACUUAGAAGAUUAGCGGAAUGCAUAAUCCUGCCUGUAGUUUUGAUUUCAGAGUAGUCAUGUUUCUACCAUUCCUUUAUUUGCUUGUAUUCAUUAUUUUUAAGAAUAUUGAACAAACUAAGUAUGAACUAAAAUAAGUCUGAGAAGGUCUAGUUCAACAUCCUGCAGAAAAUAGUGGAAUGCCACUGGUUCCAAGAGGUUCAUAAGGACUGAAAGGAGUGAUCAAAUUGUCACUAAAGCAUCCUGUUUUUUGUUGUUAGUGCUGCAGCAAUCAGGUAUCCUGUGCUCAGAUUACCCAGAAGCUAAGGACGAAGCAUGUGCAAGAAGCAUUCAAUGUAUAAGCUGGCAGAUACUCAUGGAUAAUCGACAGCAGAGAGAGGUUUAGAAAAGGAAAAGAAAAUGGACUGAAAACCCCCCAAACUUUCGGCUCUUAUCCAUGACUGUCUUAGAAGGAAAAAAUAUUCCUGUUAAUUAUUCUAGCCAUUAAAACUGUGCUGAAUUAUAGAUUGCUUAGUUUACAACAGGCUGGGAAGAGCCUCUCUUUCUCAGUAUAAGGAGCUACACUUAAAUGAGAGUUCCUGGAAAAGGUGAUGGCCGUGUUUCAGUUACUUCUACUCCAAAACACCCUGGCCACACUGCCAGAGCUCUUGGAGAUUAUUUAUCCACUGUUUGGCUGUUGCCUGAGAUUCUCCCCAUAGUCUGAAUAUUCAGGGGCUAACAAUAGUUUUUGGCCCACACUUCUUGUAAAGAUAUUCAGGUCACCGCUUUGAGAUGGUAAAAUAUUGUCCAUGCAUCCCAUUGGCUCUGGCUCGUAGCUUUUUAGAGAGUGCUGAUACAUCUCCCACUCUCAGCAGCGGCUGCAGCUAAUUGGGACAUACAUUAGCAUUUGGCAGCUUACAGUUCUGCUCCCUUCUUAUGAUCUGCCUCGUGGAAUGUCCUUGCUUUCACUUUGCUUUGAAUUGUAAAUAGUAGAGGUUAAGUAGAAGUUAAAUCUAUUUCAGGUGGAGGUGUUGCCUGUACUGGAAAUUGUCUGGGGAGUAGUUUGCUAUCAUUUAGGGGAAUAAUGUGUGAUCUGAUGACUCAGGGUGUUCUUGUUAAACUUCAGCAGGAUUUUCAUGACCUAAAGGUACUUUGGGACUCCACUUUGACCUUUAUAUGAGUGAGGAAGUUGAUCUCAGCUUCUUUUUAUUUUGAUGUGGUGAUUAUUAUCUCUCCUUGCUGAAGCACUUGUCACCUGUGGAUGUUGUAUCUCCACGUGGAAAUGAGUGAUGUGGCACAUGAAGGGAUACACUGAAACUCGUUGAUAGUUUUAGCUACUGCAGGUCACAGCAACCCAAUGUUUAUUUGAGUUGACCAGAAGGAAGACGUGGCAAUGCUGCUGCAUAGGCUGUACAGCUUCUCUAUUACCCUUCAGAGGCAGCUCUGAAUGAUAGUAUCUUUAUUUUUAAACCAAAUAAUGUUUCCCAAGGUCUUCUGAACAGAUCAUCUUCAUUUCCUUGCAGUGUUUCACAGAGAUGAAUUAUGGGGAUAAUCUUAAUUUUAUUGAAUCAAGUGGAGAGUCUGAGAUAUAUCCAGACACAUAGAACUGCUUCGGUACAAGAGCUUUCUGAUGUUGUUUCACCAGCCACUUCAAACAUCACCUUGUAUUUUUCUUUUAGAAAAUAUUUCUGCUUAUUUCACUACAAGCUUUUAAAGGUUCCGGCUGAUCACAGGCAGCCAGACAGAAGCCAUAGCUAAAGAUGGGGGAGAGUCAGUAACUGCUGAUUUAUCUAGAAUUACUGUGAACAGAUGGUUUGACUGUAAGGAAUUAUGCCAUCACCUAGACUUUAUUAGUGAAAGAAUAAAAGGAAAUGCAAAUAUAAGUAGACUUUUUUUUUCUUUUUGCUAAGCUGUGAUCUUCAAAAUUGUAAUAUAUUUUCCUAUGCUUUCUGCAAAUACUUAUAAGCAGUGAAUGAGUUCUUUGCCAAGUCAAGUUAAUGUCUUCCAUUUUAUACUGCAGUGAAAAUCUAGAAGAAUUACCAAAUAAGCUCAUUUUUUUUUCCAGGGGUUUGAGAAACAUAUUCCAAUGCAGAAGCCCAAAAACUUUAAUUCUGAAAGUUGGGUUCAUAAAAGAUAAUUGCAAGGAUCAGAUUAAGGACCUGGGGUUAUGGGUUUGUAAUUCAUUUUGUCCAUUUUGGAUGAGAUUUGUGGAAUCUGUCUGAUUCAUGUAUAUGGUAAUAGAGUUAUAAUAUGAAAACAUCCACCAUUUGAUGCCUUUGUAUUUCAUUGACAGGGAAGCAUCAGUUCUUGGAUGCUCCCAAGCCUAUAAAACAGUACCUGAAUAAAUGAAACCUCAUUUCCAUUUUAAGAAUGAGCAGCAGGGUUAUAGCAAUUCUUGGUUUAAUUUUUCAAAGUAUUUACAGCAGACGUUAGACACUCACACCAUUUUGAAGCUUUUAACCUGUUUUUGCUUACUAGUGCAUUGGAUGCUGGUAGAUUUUAGAUGGAGCAUUCUGUAUUGAUUUAUCUGGACCCAUAGGUCUGUUUACAAGGCUAAAGAACAUUUCAGAAAUUUUGAAACUAUAUGAGUUGCUUUCCUCCUUGGUACGACUUUGUAGAAAAGGCAACCCAGACAUCCAGCUGUAUAAAGGAUUUUCUUUAAAUGCUUGGCAAUAUAUAUUGGAAAUUAGUUAUAUUUUUGCAUGAUAAGGAUUUUAGGGACUGUCCAGUGUAUGUCUCCUUCCAGAAGGGUAGAGCAACUUUCUGUCUCCUUCUCAGUCUGAAAGUACCAUCUGAAUUGAGGAAUCAUCUCAACUCUGCUUCUAGGUAGAAUCACAGCAUAACCAAGUUUGGAGGGGACCUUUAGGCCCCCCAGGUCUAGGUUGUCUAGACCCUCAUCCUGCUCAAAGCAGGUCAGGCUACACCAGGUAGGUCAGGACAGUGUCCAGUCAAGUCUCACAGCACUUGAUCUGCAGUGUGGCAAAUACCAGGUACAGGGGAAGGAUUUCAGCCCUCAGACAGCUGGUUAUGCUCUUGCUGAGUCUGUGGAGGAUGAGCUUUGCAUUUUCUGCUUCAACUUUGAUCACUCUGAAGGUGCAAAACAUCAUGAAGUGGACUAAAGUCUUUCACUUUUGCAGAAAUGGUUUUAAAACUUUAUUCUUUCAGCUAUUUCACAUCUUGAGGCUUGGAUUUUGAUAUUUGAUAUUGAGGACCCUACUAGACAAAAGUCUCUUAAUCUUCUGAAGGUCAGGUGUAUGACAGCACCAGUUUCUUCCUUCCUUAAGUAGGAGAAUGUUUAUAGUCAAACAUUUUUAAAAGAGAACCUAUAUAUCUCAUGGCUAUAUUAGCACUUUACCAGUCCAAAUGACCAGAAUUUUAAAAAAGCAACAAGAUAAUUCAGUUACUAUAGCAGAAUACACAUGUACUCUGUGAUUAUAUUUCACAGCAGAAAGGGGCUGUGUUCUAACUUCUAAUGUUUCCAGAUGAGAAAAAAAAAAUACAACAAGCUGAUCUACUUGGGAAUUUUACAAGCAAGUAGUUAAAAGGAAAGGAUUCCCCCUGGAGAUAAUUAGCUAUCAUGCUGAAACACCUUCCCACAAACUGAAUUUUGAAGAAAGGAAGCUGCUGGAUGAGGAUGUGUCUGUUGCUGAGGUUGAACAGUCAGCCUGUGUCCUUGAACAAAGCCCCCGAUCUCAAAGGACUUUCUGCUGAAAUAUACAAACAGUUCCAGCAAAUUUUGGAAAAUUUCCUAACUAAAAAUUGAAUGAGUCAUCCACAUCAGUUUUACAUCUGCUGUUAGCUCAGUUAAUAGCCAUGUAUUAAGGAAAAAUGACAAGAAUCAUGGAAGCUGUGUCUCCUACAGAGAUAUUUUGUUACGCAGUACAGAUACUAAAUUGCUUUCUAAUCUAUAAUUCUGAACAUUUUUUUCCACUUUUGUUCAUUGAGAGUGAACUUUUUUCACAUGGAAAGGACGUGUCUUGCACAUUCAAAGGCUACAUGUACCACACUGUACACUGUAUAUUCAGUAUAGGACUGGAAUUUUGAGUGAAUAUAGAAAUAGCUUUUCAUAAUGUACACUGGUGCUAUCAUGACAUGGUAAGCAAGAAAUAAAUUUAUCUUGGUAUAUGA